rnacentral:rRNA from 1 species
AGUGGAUGGGGAGCAACAAAAGUUGUGUGUGUGUAAAGGUAGUGCCAAGAAAAGCGGAGUUGAUGUUGAACAAAAGAUUCCGGUACCCGAAACCGACACAGGUAGGCAAGUAGAGAAUACUAAGGGGCGCGAGGUAACUCUCUCCAAGGAACUCGGCAAAAUGACCCCGUAACUUCGGGAGAAGGGGUGCCACCGAGAGGUGGUCGCAGUGAAGAGUCCCAGGCGACUGUUUAGCAAAAACAUAGGUCUCUGCAAACUCGAAAGAGGAGGUAUAGGGGCUGACGCCUGCCCAGUGCCGGAAGGUUAAAGAAGUUGGUCAGUCGAAAGAUGAAGCUAACGACUGAAGCCCCGGUGAACGGCGGCCGUAACUAUAACGGUCCUAAGGUAGCGAAAUUCCUUGUCGGGUAAGUUCCGACCCGCACGAAAGGCGUAACGAUCUGGGAGCUGUCUCGGAGAGAGGCUCGGCGAAAUAGGAUUGUCUGUGAAGAUACGGACUACCUGCAUUUGGACAGAAAGACCCUAUGAAGCUUUACUGUAGCUUGGAAUUGUGUUCGGGCUUGCUGUGCGCAGGAUAGGUGGGAGGCUAUGAAGGUAUGCUUGUGGGUGUACUGGAGCCGUCAGUGAGAUACCACUCUCAGGGGGCUAGAAUUCUAACUAAAGAAAGGACAGUUUCAGGUGGGCAGUUUGACUGGGGCGGUCGCCUCCAAAAAGGUAACGGAGGCAUACAAAGGUUCCUUCAGACUGGUUGGAAAUCAGUCGCAGAGUGCAAAGGCAGAAAGGAGCUUGACUGCGAGAAUUACAGUUCGAGCAGGGUGGAAACACGGUCUUAGUGAUCCGACGGUGCUGUGUGGAAGGGCCGUCGCUCAACGGAUAAAAGUUACUCUAGGAUAACAGGCUGAUCUCCCCCAAGAGUUCACAUCGACGGGGAGGUUUGGCACCUCGAUGUCGGCUCAUCGCAACCUGGGGCGGAAGUACGUCCCAAGGGUUGGGCUGUUCGCCCAUUAAGGCGGUACGUGAGCUGGGUUCAGAACGUCGUGAGACAGUUCGGUCCAUAUCCGAUGUAGGCGAGAGAAUAUUGAGAGGAGCCUUCCUUAGUACGAGAGGACCGGGAAGGACGCACCGCUGGUGUACCUGUUAUGAUGCCAAUUGUAAACGCAGGGUAGCCAAGUGCGGAGAGGAUAACCGCUGAAAGCAUCUAAGUGGGAAGCCCACCUCAAGAUGAGUAUUCUGUGUUAAGGUCACGGGAAGACGACCCGUAAAUAGGCACGAGGUGGAAGUACAGUAAUGUAUGAAGCCGAAGUGUACUAAUAGACCGUCAGCUUGA